AUGCGGCCCCGCGCCGGCCCCGCCCGCCACCGUCUCGUAGUAACCAAUGGACGCGUCGCCGAACGUCACGUUGUUCAUACAGCCCUAUGGGAGGGGGGAAUGGGGUCACGUGGUACUAUAACGGGUAUGGGGUCACGUGGUACUAUAAGGGGUAUGGGGUCACACAGCCCUAUGGGGGAAUGGGGUCACACAGCCCUAUGGGGGGGGGGAAUGGGGUCACGUGGUACUAUAACGGGUGUGGGGUCACGUGGUACUAUAACGGCUAUGGGGUCACGUGGUAUUAUAAUGGCUAUGGGGUCAUACAGCCCUAUGGGGGGGGAAUGGGGUCAUACAGCCCUAUGGGGGAAUGGGGUCACGUGGUACUAUAACGGGUAUGGGGUCAUACAGCCCUAUGGGGGGAAUGGGGUCAUACAGCCCUAUGGGGGUAUGGGGUCACACAGCCCUAUGGGGAAUGGGUCAACAGCCUAUGGGGGAAUGGGGUCAGAUGGCCCUAUAGGGGGAGAGGGGUCACACAGCCCUAUGGGGGAAUGGGGUCAUACAGCCCUAUGGGGGGUAUGGGGUCACGUGGUACUAUAACGGGUAUGGGGUCACACAGCCCUAUGGGGGUAUGGGGUCACACAGCCCUAUGGGGGAAUGGGGUCAUACAGCCCUAUGGGGGAAUGGGGUCAUACAGCCCUAUAAGGGGUAUGGGGUCACACAGCCCUAUGGGGGAAUGGGGUCAUACAGCCCCAUG
rnacentral:lncRNA from 7 species